CAGUAGCCGCGGGAAUACGAGGGGGGCAAGCGUUGUUCGGAAUUAUUGGGCGUAAAGGGUGCGUAGGCGGCUUGACAAGUCUUGUGUGAAAUCUAUGGGCUCAACCCAUAGUCAGCACGGGAAACUGUCGGGCUUGAGAAUGGGAGAGGUGAGUGGAAUUUCCGGUGUAGCGGUGAAAUGCGUAGAUAUCGGAAGGAACACCUGUGGCGAAAGCGGCUCACUGGACCAUUUCUGACGCUGAUGCACGAAAGCUAGGGGAGCAAACAGGAUUAGAUACCCCCGUAGUCCCUGUCUCUUAUAC
rnacentral:rRNA from 1 species